UACGGAGGGGGCUAGCGUUGUUCGGCAUUACUGGGCGUAAAGCGCACGUAGGCGGCUUUGCAAGUUAGAGGUGAAAGCCCGGGGCUUAACCCCGGAAUUGCCUUUAAAACUGCAUCGCUAGAAUUGUGGAGAGGUGAGUGGAAUUCCGAGUGUAGAGGUGAAAUUCGUAGAUAUUCGGAAGAACACCAGUGGCGAAGGCGACUCACUGGACACAUAUUGACGCUGAGGUGCGAAAGCGUGGGGAGCAAACAGG
rnacentral:rRNA from 1 species